rnacentral:rRNA from 1 species
AGUGAACGCUGGCGGUAGGCCUAACACAUGCAAGUCGAACGGCAGCACAGUAAGAGCUUGCUCUUACGGGUGGCGAGUGGCGGACGGGUGAGGAAUACAUCUGAAUCUACUUUUUCGUGGGGGAUAACGUAGGGAAACUUACGCUAAUACCGCAUACGACCUACGGGUGAAAGCAGGGGAUCUUCGGACCUUGCGCGAUUGAAUGAGCCGAUGUCGGAUUAGCUAGUUGGCGGGGUAAAGGCCCGCCAAGGCGACGAUCCGUAGCUGGUCUGAGAGGAUGAUCAGCCACACUGGAACUGAGACACGGUCCAGACUCCUACGGGAGGCAGCAGUGGGGAAUAUUGGACAAUGGGCGCAAGCCUGAUCCAGCCAUACCGCGUGGGUGAAGAAGGCCUUCGGGUUGUAAAGCCCUUUUGUUGGGAAAGAAAAGCAGCAGGUUAAUACCCCGCUGUUCUGACGGUACCCAAAGAAUAAGCACCGGCUAACUUCGUG